rnacentral:rRNA from 1 species
ACUGGUGCGCGAGAUGAGUAUUCUAAGGCGCUUGAGAGAACUCGGGAGAAGGAACUCGGCAAAUUGACACCGUAACUUCGGAAGAAGGUGUGCCCUAUUAGUGUGAAGUGAACAACGGAGCAUGAAUGGGUUGCAAAAAAUCGGUGGCUGCGACUGUUUAUUAAAAACACAGCACUCUGCAAACACGAAAGUGGACGUAUAGGGUGUGACGCCUGCCCGGUGCUGGAAGAUUAAAUGAUGGGGUGCAAGCUCUUGAUUGAAGUCCCAGUAAACGGCGGCCGUAACAAUAACGGUCCUAAGGUAGCGAAAUUCCUUGUCGGGUAAGUUCCGACCUGCACGAAUGGCGUAACGAUGGCCACACUGUCUCCUCCCGAGACUCAGCGAAGUUGGAAUGUUUGUGAUGAUGCAAUCUCACCGCGGAAAGACGGAAAGACCCCAUGAACCUUUACUGUAGCUUUGUAUUGGACUUUGAACAGAUCUGUGUAGGAUAGGUGGGAGGCUUUGAAGCAGGGUCGCUAGAUCUUGUGGAGCCAACGUUGAAAUACCACCCUGGUGUGUUUGAGGUUCUAACCUAGGUCCAUUAUCUGGAUCGGGGACAGUGCAUGGUAGGCAGUUUGACUGGGGCGGUCUCCUCCCAAAGCGUAACGGAGGAGUUCGAAGGUACGCUAGUUACGGUCGGACAUCGUGACGAUAGUGCAAUGGCAUAAGCGUGCUUAACUGCGAGACUGACAAGUCGAGCAGAUGCGAAAGCAGGACAUAGUGAUCCGGUGGUUCUGUAUGGAAGGGCCAUCGCUCAACGGAUAAAAGGUACUCUGGGGAUAACAGGCUGAUACCGCCCAAGAGUUCAUAUCGACGGCGGUGUUUGGCACCUCGAUGUCGGCUCAUCUCAUCCUGGGGCUGUAGCCGGUCCCAAGGGUAUGGCUGUUCGCCAUUUAAAGAGGUACGUGAGCUGGGUUUAAAACGUCGUGAGACAGUUUGGUCCCUAUCUUCCGUGGGCGCUGCAGAUUUGAGGAAGCCUGCUCCUAGUACGAGAGGACCGGAGUGGACGCACCUCUGGUGUAUCGGUUGUCACGCCAGUGGCAUUGCCGAGUAGCUAUGUGCGGAAGAGAUAACCGCUGAAAGCAUCUAAGCGGGAAACUCGUUCCAAGAUGAGAUCUGCCGGGGCCUUGAGCCCCCUAAAGAGUCGUUCAAGACCAGGACGUUGAUAGGUCGGGUGUGGAAGCGCAGUAAUGCGUUAAGCUAACCGAUACUAAUUGCUCGUGCGGCUUGACCCC